ACAGUAUCCCUGAGAGUUAGGGAGAAUGUGUUUAUUUGAUUAGCUCCCCCUGAAAGGCAAAUAUCAAUGUGGCCAAGAAUUUGGACUUUGAACCCAGGCAACCUUCCCAUUGCUUGAAAGGGCAACUUCUCAAUCCGUACAGCCAAGAUGCAGCAGCACGUGUGUGAAACCAUCAUCCGCAUCUUUAAGAGACACGGAGCUGUUCAGUUGUGUACCCCACUACUACUUCCCCGAAACAGACAAAUAUAUGAGCACAACGAAGCUGCCCUAUUCAUGGACCACAGCGGGAUGCUGGUGAUGCUUCCUUUUGACCUGCGGAUCCCUUUUGCAAGAUAUGUGGCAAGAAAUAAUAUAUUGAAUUUAAAACGAUACUGCAUAGAACGUGUGUUCAGGCCGCGCAAAUUAGAUCGAUUUCAUCCCAAAGAACUUCUGGAGUGUGCAUUUGAUAUUGUCACUUCUACCACCAACAGCUUUCUGCCAACUGCUGAAAUUAUCUACACUAUCUAUGAAAUCAUCCAAGAGUUUCCAGCACUUC
rnacentral:sRNA from 1 species